CUAGGGUGCAUUUCUUGACGAAAAGAAGGUGAAAAUGCCCAAAUCGUCUAUUAAAUCGAAAAAGUAUACUUAACAUCGACAAAUUGUAAGUACACUUCUGUUAACUCGUCUCGGGUGUCAGCGCCGCAGGCCUAGCUACAUGUGCGCCAGGCGCGUCGCAGCGUAACAGUGUUUCGUGAGAUAUCGCGAAGCCUGUUACGCGAGACGUGG